AUUGAACGCUGGCGGCAUGCCUUACACAUGCAAGUCGAACGACAGCACGGGAGCAAUCCUGGUGGCGAGUGGCGAACGGGUGAGUAAAGUAUCGGAACGUGCCCAGUCGUGGGGGAUAACGUAGCGAAAGUUACGCUAAUACCGCAUACGAUCUAUGGAUGAAAGCGGGGGAUCGCAAGACCUCGCGCGAUUGGAGCGGCCGAUAUCAGAUUAGGUAGUUGGUGGGGUAAAGGCUCACCAAGCCGACGAUCUGUAGCUGGUCUGAGAGGACGAACAGCCACACUGGGACUGAGACACGGCCCAGACUCCUACGGGAGGCAGCAGUGGGGAAUUUUGGACAAUGGGCGAAAGCCUGAUCCAGCCAUGCCGCGUGCAGGAUGAAGGCCUUCGGGUUGUAAACUGCUUUUGUACGGAACGAAAAGGUUUGGCCUAAUAAGCUGAGCUCAUGACGGUACCGUAAGAAUAAGCACCGGCUAACUACGUGCCAGCCGCCGCAGUAA
rnacentral:rRNA from 1 species